GACGAACGCUGGCGGCGUGCCUAAUACAUGCAAGUAGAACGCUGAAGGAGGAGCUUGCUUCUCUGGAUGAGUUGCGAACGGGUGAGUAACGCGUAGGUAACCUGCCUGGUAGCGGGGGAUAACUAUUGGAAACGAUAGCUAAUACCGCAUAAGAGUAGAUGUUGCAUGACAUUUGCUUAAAAGGUGCAAUUGCAUCACUACCAGAUGGACCUGCGUUGUAUUAGCUAGUUGGUGAGGUAACGGCUCACCAAGGCGACGAUACAUAGCCGACCUGAGAGGGUGAUCGGCCACACUGGGACUGAGACACGGCCCAGACUCCUACGGGAGGCAGCAGUAGGGAAUCUUCGGCAAUGGACGGAAGUCUGACCGAGCAACGCCGAGUGAGGGAAGAAGGUUGUCGGAUCGUAAAGCUCUGUUGUAAGAGAAGAACGAGUGUGAGAGUGGAAAGUUCACACUGUGACGGUAUCUUACCAGAAAGGGACGGCUAACUACGUG
rnacentral:rRNA from 1 species